CCUCCAGCUGUUUUGGGACUACAAUUCCCACCAUCCCUGACCACUGGUCCUGUUAGCUAGAGAUGAUGGGAGUUGUAGUCCCAAAACAGCUGGAGG